rnacentral:lncRNA from 1 species
CACCUGCCUCGGCCUCCCAGAGUGCUAGGAUUCCAGGCAUGAGUCACCAUCCCCGGCCUGUACAGUCUCAUGAUUAUCUUCCAAAGAGUUUUUAAUUUUUUAUUACUUCUGAAACUCGUAAGUUAUAAAAGAAUCAAAGCAUUAUCUGAGAUGUCAGCUAGUCCAAUGACUGUAAACCAGGGUGGUGGAGUGGUAGUGGGUUUAUCUAAAUCACUUCUGAAGCACUUUUCCAAUAACAGCCUCCCUAUCUUCUGGAAGAAUUCUGGUAUGGCAACCAUGUUACAGUGGCAGUGGGAGUGAGGGGGGACGGGAGGUGAGUGAGCACCUGGGUUGUUUGCUAAACUACUUUAGCAAUUAUUGUGAUAGGUACCUACCCCCCAGAAUGCCCCCAAAACAUAUAACUAGUUGAAGACAAAACCAGAGUUUGAUGCAAAAACUCCUGCCAGUUUUAGUCUAGUCUUUUCCUAAUUAUUUUGCUUUGCCCUGACAAUUCAUCUUCAUCUCCAUAAUCCUUAUUAGUUCCAGAUAGAAACUUCCUUUAAUUUACUUAAACUCUGUUCUGGGAGCUCCCCUGCUCUCAUCUUCUACACUUAAAAACAAAUGAACAAAUUAAUGAACAGACAGCAACACAAACAAGCUAAAACAAACGGGCAGAGACGAUCAACUAUACACUGAAAACUCAUUUUCUCAUUUCCUGGCCUGGGGUUAUUGCUGGGGGUCAGCUUCCCAGCCAGGUGCUGCUUUUCUUAGGCCCUUUUGCAUCCAGGGGCAUCCAUGCACUCAUCAGUUAUCAACCACCAAUCAAGCAGCUGUCUUCUUUCCCGUGUCUAAUCAGACAAGGGUCAUCUGUCACAGAACUAUCCAAUCAGCAUUAAGGUGCCGAGUACAAAAGGCUGCUCAAAGAGAGAGUUUUUCUGACCAACAACAUUCUACUUUAUUGAGGAUUUGGAUGUGAGAGAGAUAUAUAUAUGGAAAGCUGACAUUUGGCUGUGGGAGCAGAAGUAAAAAGAGACACGGCGAGACGGACCUGAGGAAAAAUUCCCCCAGCAUAGACUGGUGAAAAGACAGAGGGCUCUGGAAUUAAUCAAGCUGGGUUUCUGCUUCAGUUUUGUCCCUCAUAGUUACUCCUCUGGGUAACGUGUCUAACAGGACCUCUGGAGCUCAAGGUUGGGCAAUGUAAACUUCUUUCUGAGUGACAUCCCCUGUCUAGGAUCUGAGUGCUCAGUGGAGGGGAGUCAGCAGGCUAAGGUCUUCUGGGCUUGCUUCUCCUGGCAUAGAACCACCAUCUCGAGUUGGAGAAAAGGCUACUGGGGUCUCAAUAUUUUCACUGCACCGUGCCAGAAGUAGAGCAUUUAUUCCACCAUUGGGGAAAAAGGGAGCCCUCAUCUCCCAUCAACACUCAACUGGAAUUUGACCUCAGCAAUAAACCUUCGGAAGUAAGCUGAGAAACGCUGAAGUCCUGCUCUUCCUGGGAAGGAAGCUUUCUGGUUGGGCAGAAAGGCAUCCCUAUGUUCUUUGCUGCAGCAGUGUGGAGUUGCUGAUCUGGGAGAGGGAAGGGAGGGAGAAGUCUUAGUUCAAAUACCGCAGGCUCUUGCCUUUCUUACAGAAUUUUGGCAGAUUUUCUUGAUGUUUCUUCAUUUUCUGUUUGCCCAUUGGACCAUUUCCAGAGUCUCUGAAUGGUUGUUUUUCAUAAUAAUUUUAAUCAAUUUUAUUGGUGAAAUGAAGCUCCUCAUACUGUCAUGCUAGAAGUCAGUUUUUCAGAUUAGAUUUUAAAUACAUAAAACACAUACAAUUAUAAAAUAAGCCAGCUAUAUUGAAAUACAGCCACCAAAAGUUUUUAAAGUUGUGGCAUAGUACUUAUUUGUUGAUAUAUUAAGUACUGUCUGGCUGUGUUCUAAUAACUACCUUAAUUUAAAAUAGAGAUGUACAUAAAUGAAACAUAUGUUUUGGGAUAUCUACAACAAUAUAAUGUAAUAUAGAAAUAUCUAUGAUUGCUAAUGAUGAAAAAGUCAUAGAGGUUUUAAUUUCAUUAUGGUUUGUUGUCUACGCUCAUGAUUUCAGGAAAUGCUGUUUCAGUUAGAGGUCAGUAAAAAUAAAAAUAUAAAUUUUUCCAAUCUGCAUUUACUGAUCCCUUGAAUUUUACCCACGGUCCUUUUGGGGACCAGGCAAAGAUUUCACAUAAGAUUUUAGAUCAUCACAGAAUC